UCAAGUUAUUAAGGGUGCAGGGCGGAUGCCUUGGCACUAGGAGCCGAUGAAGGACGUGAUAAGCUGCGAUAAGCUUCGGGGAGUUGCACGUAAACUUUGAUCCGAAGAUUUCCGAAUGAGGAAACUCACUUAGAGUAAUGUCUAAGUAUCAUUAAGUGAAUACAUAGCUUAAUGAGGGGAACUCAGGGAACUGAAACAUCUAAGUACCUGAAGGAAGAGAAAGAAAUUCGAUUCCGUAAGUAGCGGCGAGCGAACGCGGAUUAGCCCAAACCAAUAAAGUUUUCUUUAUUGGGGUUGCGGACAUAUCAUAACGAAGAGGUAUCGUAAUUGAAGAGGUUUGGAAAGACCCACCACAGAAGGUAAUAGUCCUGUAUGUUAAACGAGAAGACUUUAGAUAUGAUCCAGAGUACCACGGGACACGUGAAACCCUGUGGGAAGCAGGAGGGACCACCCUCCAAGGCUAAAUACUACCUAGUGACCGAUAGCGUAUAGUACCGUGAGGGAAAGGUGAAAAGAACCCCGGGAGGGGAGUGAAAUAGAACCUGAAACCCUGCACUUACAAGCUGUGGAAGCACAUUUCUUGUGUGACCGCGUACUUUUUGUAGAACGGGCCAACGAGUUACGUUAAGUAGCAAGGUUAAGCACUUAAGGUGCGGAGCCGUAGCGAAAGCGAGUUUUAACUGAGCGUUCAGUUACUUGACGUAGACCCGAAACCGGGCGACCUACCCAUGAGCAGGAUGAAGCGAAAGUAAAAUUUCGUGGAGGUCCGAACCCACGAGCGUUGAAAAGCUCGGGGAUGACUUGUGGGUAGCGGUGAAAUUCCAAUCGAGCCCGGAGAUAGCUGGUUCUCCCCGAAAUAGCUUUAGGGCUAGCCUCAAGGUGAGAGAUACGGAGGUAGAGCACUGAAUGUCCUAGGGGGUAUUGCACCUACCGAAGACUAUCAAACUCCGAAUGCCGUCAUCUUAUACUUGGGAGUCAGACUGUGGGUGAUAAGAUUCAUAGUCGAAAGGGCAACAGCCCAGAUCGUCAGCUAAGGUCCCUAAAUGUAAGUUAAGUGGUAAAGGAUGUGGGAUUGCACAGACAACCAGGAUGUUGGCUUAGAAGCAGCCACUCAUUCAAAGAGUGCGUAAUAGCUCACUGGUCGAGUGAUCCUGCGCCGAAGAUUUCCGGGGCUAAAACUUACUACCGAAGCUACGGCAUCAGUAAUGAUGGGUAGGGGAGCUUCCCAUACGGGUUGAAGCAUGACCGUAAGGACAUGUGGACAGUAUGGGAGUGAGAAUGUUGGCAUGAGUAGCGAGAUGUGGGUGAGAAUCCCACAGGCCGUAAACCCAAGGUUUCCAGGGGAAGGUUCGUCCGCCCUGGGUUAGUCGGGACCUAAGCUGAGGCCGAAAGGCGUAGGUGAUGGACAACAGGUUGAUAUUCCUGUACUACCGAUAACCGUUUGAGAGAAGGGAUGACACAGUAGGAUAAGCUAAGCACACUGUUGGUUAUGUGUGCCCAAGCAUUGAGGCAGUCAAAGUAGGCAAAUCCGCUUUGAUAAUGCUGGGAUGUGAUGGGGAGCGAAAUUUAGUAGCGAAGUAGCUGAUUUCACACUGUCAAGAAAAGUCUCUAUCGAGGUUAAAGGUACCCGUACCGCAAACCGACACAGGUGGGUGAGGAGAGUAUCCUAAGGCCAGCGAGAGAACUGUUGUUAAGGAACUCGGCAAAAUGACCCCGUAACUUAGGGAUAAGGGGUGCCACCAUCAGGUGGCCGCAGAGAAUAGGCCCAAGCGACUGUUUACCAAAAACAUAGGUUUCUGCUAAGUCGCAAGACGAUGUAUAGGAGCUGACGCCUGCCCGGUGCUGGAAGGUUAAGGGGAUCUGUUAGAGCAAUCGAAGCAGUGAACUUAAGCCCCAGUAAACGGCGGCCGUAACUAUAACGGUCCUAAGGUAGCGAAAUUCCUUGUCGGGUAAGUUCCGACCCGCACGAAAGGCGUAACGAUUUGGGCACUGUCUCAACAACAGACUCGGUGAAAUUGUAAUUCCGGUGAAGAUGCCGGAUACCUGCGACAGGACGGAAAGACCCCAUGGAGCUUUACUGUAGCUUGACAUUGGGUCUUGGUACUACAUGUACAGGAUAGGUGGGAGGCUUUGAAACCAGGACGCCAGUUUUGGCGGAGCCAUCCUUGGGAUACCACCCUUGUAGUACUGGGACUCUAACCAUAGGCCAUGAAUCUGGUCUUGGGACACUGUCAGGUGGGCAGUUUGACUGGGGCGGUCGCCUCCCAAAAGGUAACGGAGGCGCUCAAAGGUUCUCUCAGUACGGUCGGAAAUCGUACGUAGAGUGUAAAG
rnacentral:rRNA from 1 species